AUGAUUAAAAAACAUUUUGUGUUAUUUAUGUUUUUAAUCCAUAGCAUGACAAUGGAGCAUUGUGUGUCAGCAGCUGUAAUUCAAAUGAAGAAAACAUAUCUGACUAUUGUUUAUAUUUUAGUAUUGAAAGUCUUUGAGGACAGAUUGAUAAUCAGAUUUAAACAUGCCAAGCCAAAGCCAGACUCCCAAUGUGAUCCUUUUCAACAAGUUUGCUUACAAGAUUCUCAUUGUAGCUUCUAGUUUGGCGCCACAGAAACAAGCAACCUGGGGAUUUCGGCAGAGCCCUUCAGGGAAACAACUUGAGGGACUAGCUCAGAGGCUGUUUUGGUUUCCAGCCGGUAAGUCACCCUGCCAUUUGUUCUACAUACUUCCUUACGUGUUCACUGCACCCAAGAGGUCGAUGGCACUCAGCACUGAGCUGGAGCGUAUGCUACCUCGCCCUGUGAUUCCCAGGAUCCACUGUGUAGCCUCUGAACCAGGAUCCCCAUCACUCACUCUCCUGGAUCUUAACUCUGCUGACGUUACCUGCCAUUGAACUUUUGGCUGAUUCUUUUAAAGACACAUUUACGUGCUUUCAAAUUAAAGCCGAGUUUUGAGUCCUUUAGCGAGGAUAAUGAAGAUAUUUCAUUCUCUUAAAAGCAAAACAAUUUCAAGAUUUUAUUCUCUGAAUCUUGCCCAAGCAUGAUUCACAAUUUACUACUAUUAAGAUAAGGCUCACAUGAGCUGAGAUUUCAUGACAUUUUGGGAAAUAUCUAGUCCAAAUUUUAGUGCUAAUGAGAAGUCUAGGGAAUAUUGAUUUGUGUGAAAGGGAGGGGCUCUGGCUUGAGGCUAUUGUUGAGGGGUGUGGGAGCUGCAUGAAGCUUUGGCUGUUUGGUGCAAUCAAGAAGUAAUGGACUGAAUAUCAGAUGACUUGGGUCUAGUCCUGGCUUUGAACUUGGCCAAGGAUUUUUUUUCAUUCUUGGCCUGGAUGUCUUCAUCUGCAAAAUGACUAGAUUUGGCAAAAGUCUUCUCUGAUCCCUCCCAGCAGUAACAUUCUAUAUUUCUAAAACAUGUGCGAAAGCUUUGCUCCAGUCCAUUGGGUUAUAUGCACUAAUCAACUGCAGUCCUCGAUGUUCGCUUGUCCCAACUCUGGCCACUGUGACUGAUAGUAAUGUUGAUUUAGCAGAUAGAGACCUUGGAAGACUAACACCCACAAGGAGGGGAGGGAUGUGAGUAAAUCUGUUGUUUACGAGAUUUCAUAACCUCCCACCCUUGACACAUACACCUUCUAUAAUUAACCACCAAGGAAUGGGGAGGGGGGAGCCAAUGAAAGCACAACUGAUUUAUGUUUAAAUAAUAUGUUCCCAAAGUGUCACCGAGCAGGCAAGUUCAUCUUUGAGCCAAUUAAAUAAAUCCAGUUCCAACUUGGCCUCUUCCA
rnacentral:lncRNA from 1 species